rnacentral:tRNA from 1 species
GCCCGGCUAGCUCAAUCGGUAGAGCGUGAGACUCUUAAUAACGAUCAAGAGCCAUCUUCAUCGAAACCAGGACCAUCUCAAGGUUGUGGGUUCGACCCCCACGUCGGGCU